CGGAGGCUCCUCCUCUCUGCUCCGACAGGGACAGGUAAUCCAUCAGUUAGUGUUAAAAUGCACGAGCUUUGUGCAGCAACAGGCUGUAAUAACAAGAACAGCUGUAGAGAGAGUCUUUGCUCUGCACGGCCGCCUGCACCGGCUACCGGCCCGCAGCAGGCUCCUGGAUAGGCGCUACGAAGUCGCUGCUAACACAGUUAGCAUUCAUAAUUCAAGACCGAGGGAAAACAUGUUUAACGUGCAAAGCGAAGGUGACGUCACCGACCUCAGCGUUAACAGAGACAGCGGGUUGUCGGUGUCGGCAAGGUCUGGAUCUUUGGGGACACCUACAACCUCUUGCAGCAAUGACGGAGGCCCUGCACCACCUCCACCUCGAGGAAGAAUAUACAGUCUUCAGUGUAUUCAGUGUGACUUGCUGACACCUAGGAACAACUCUACAACCCUACUGAGUUGGCCCCUUGAUCCUUUCAUCAAGGAGAACACCCCUUCUUCCCUCUUACAUCACCAAGGCUUCAUCGUCUUAACAACAUCUUACCUGUAGAUAUGUUGAUUCAGUCCAAGGGCUCUUCCUGCCCUACCUGUGGAUAUGCUGAUCCAGCCUAAGAGCCCCUCCUACCCCCUUGAUAACUUGAACCUAGGUGUUACAUUGCAAGACCUCUAGAGAACAUUACCUUUUGCUUCUAACCUCCUUUCCAACUUGUUAUCCUGUCUGACCAAAUGUCUGUAAGCCCAGGUCUAUGCAAAUACAAUUGUGUAUCCCUUUGUCUUCAACUGUAUAACUGUCCCCCUGCCCUUCACUCUGGGUCAGUCUCCUGCCUCAGACCCGCUCUGUGUCAGUUGCCUCACCGUAUCCUGGGAAACAAUAAACUUACAUCACUACAGCAAACUUGAAACUAAGGACUUUUCUUCAACAACCUGCAGUGUCCACACAUGAAGAUCUUCUCUUCCCAAACAUAAACACAGUGUCUUACAUGAUAAUAUAGUAUUUUUUUUUAAUGUAACACUUGUGGCCAUAACAUUGUUCAGUCUGAUCAGCUCUGCUCUUCCUUGUUCCCUACACCCUCACUGUCGUAUUACACUCUCUGCCCCGUGUCAGACAUACAAUCACAUGACUUUUGGACUCCACUGUAGCUGUAACAAACUGUCAAUACUUUAAAACAUUAGAGUUUAUAUUUCAUAGUCCUCAUCCAUUAUAGUUAAUAUCAGUGUGCUGUUCCGACAGCAUCACUUAUUUAGGGGAGAGAGAUUGUUACUGGGGCAAAUAAAUAUGAACUGUCUCACACAUUAGGAUUCAUGAUGAAUAAUGAUUAUACUUGUUAAUAAAAAUUCUGUUGCACUGUU